UACGUAGGGACCAAGCGUUGUUCGGAUUUACUGGGCGUAAAGGGCGCGUAGGCGGCGUGACAAGUCACUUGUGAAAUCUCCGGGCUUAACUCGGAACGGCCAAGUGAUACUGUCGUGCUAGAGUGCAGAAGGGGCAAUCGGAAUUCUUGGUGUAGCGGUGAAAUGCGUAGAUAUCAAGAGGAACACCUGAGGUGAAGACGGGUUGCUGGGCAUUAACUGACGCUGAGGAGCGAAAGCAUGGGGAGCGAACAGG
rnacentral:rRNA from 1 species